rnacentral:rRNA from 1 species
AUGGAGCAAGAUGAGCAGGAGACACUAAUGGAGCUAAAGAGGAGAACCAAGAUUGAGAACUUUAGGAAACAUAAGGAGGCAUCUGAGCAUGUUCAAAUGGUUAAGCAAAAACUACCAGUUCUUCUAACUGAAGAUGACUCUGAUCUGGAUGCAGAUGAGGACUUUGUUAACAUGCUUAAUGAUUUGAGGAGGCAGAGAGAGGACCCACUCCUUCAUUUUGAAGGAGACAUUGAUGUGGAUGAAGUGUAUGGGGAAGAUGAGGAAGAGGAGCAAGUGGAGCAGAUGGAGCAUGAGGAGGAGGAGCGGAUGGAGCAACAACAGGAGCCAGCAAAGAAGAAGGAAAAAAGAAAAGGGCCAACCAAGAGGUCACAUUCAAGCUUGGAGCAAAGAUUUGAGGAUGUGUGGGUACCAUCAUCAGAUGAGGAGUAUGUAGGUGAUUUGAAGCAGGAAUAUGAUGAUGGAGCUGAGAAUGCACCUUUUAUUCUGCCCAAUGGAAGGAAGAGCAGAGCAUAUAAAGAAAAACCAAGGAAGUGUUAUAGUGAAGAAAGAUAG